rnacentral:sRNA from 1 species
AGCACCUACUUCAGAAAGGUGUUGCAAGGAUUGAAUAAGUUAAUUCCUGUAAAGUUCUAAGAACUGGCACAUAAAAAAUGUUGAUUAAUAUUAGCUAUUACUAUAAAUUAUUUUUAAAGCUUCUUAUCUUUUGAUGUUUUCAAAAAUGAAUUCCUAAUUUCAGAGGGAUUGUAUGUGAAGUCCAUAUUUCACUGUUUUUAAAUGUUUCCCUGCCUCCCCACUCUGGUUCCACCCUGUCUCGGUCCCUCUUCCUAGUGCUGCCCAGACUGGGUCACCAAACAGGCCUGUCUGAGGGAACCCUUGUCACCUUUGUGGGGAAUUCUCUUUGGGCCCUGCCUGGAAGUAAGAGCCACGGAGCCUGCCCAGGCGCCCCUUCUCCUUUCCCCAUGCCCUGGGCUUCUGCAUUCCCUGCAGCACUGGAGAUGUGUGGCUCUCACGCUUCCCCUGAGCUUUGUGCCUGCUGCCCCAUUCUGCUCAGGAGCCUCUUCCUGCGGGGACCCUCUGGUGCUCUGGCCUCACCUCUGUGGCUCGUCCUCUCUGAUGCCUCCUCCUCCCCAGAGAGGGCAUUCAUCUCUGGUCCCAUGCUCCUCUGUCAGUCUCCACUAGUCAAAGGCGGGGGUGAUGUUUCCCGCCUCCCUGUAAUCCCAGCACCUAGUAGCGCGCCCAGCAAGUGAAUCUCUUUGUCGGGCAGUUAAGACAGUGGAUUAAUAUGAAAUAAAAAUAUCCCUUUGGCAAUUCUUUUGGUCACACUGUGUUAUCUCCUCCAGGCAGGAAAAAUACUAUUGUAUUAUAAGGCUCGGACAAAAGACAUCCUGAUUCGAUUCACUGCUUGGUGCUGUAUUCUUGGGCUCAUUUCUGUUGCUCUGACGAAGGUUUCUGAAAAUGAAGGCUUUAUUCCAGUAAACAAAAAUCUCUGGUCCCUUUCGUAUGUCACCACGCUCAGUUCUUUUGCCUUUUUCAUCCUGCUGGUCCUGUACCCAGUUGUGGAUGUGAAGGGGCUGUGGACAGGAACCCCAUUCUUUUAUCCGGGAAUGAAUUCCAUUCUGGUAUACGUUGGCCACGAGGUGUUUGAGAACUACUUCCCCUUUCAGUGGAAGCUGAAGGACAACCAGUCCCACAAGGAGCACCUGACUCAGAACAUCAUCGCCAGUGCCCUCUGGGUGCUCAUUGCCUACAUCCUCUAUAGAAAGAAGAUUUUUUGGAAAAUCUGAUGGCUCCCACUGAGAAUGUGCUGCUGGAAGACUCUAGUCGGCCUGCAGGGAGGACUGAAGCAGCCUUCAUUAAAGGGAAGCAUUCAUUAGGAAAUCGACGGGCUGCGUGUUUACAGACUCUGGGGGAAGACACUGAUGUCCUCAAACUGGUUAACUGUGACACGGCUCUCCAGAACUCUGCCUGUCUAUUUGUGACUUACAGAUUUCAAAUGUAAUUGUCUUUUUUCCUCCAUCUUCUGUGGAAAUGGAUGUAUUUGGAACUUCAUUCCAAGGAGAUGAGCUUUAACUUU